UAGCCAUGAUAUGGGCAAGUGAGAAGUAAUUCCUUGAACCAUUCUCAACACUCAAAAAAGGUUUCAUCUCUUUUUGGGGAGAAAUUCAUUAUGUCUUGUAUGAGAGU